rnacentral:rRNA from 1 species
GAUGAACGCUGGCUACAGGCUUAACACAUGCAAGUCGAGGGGAAACGACGGGGAAGCUUGCUUCCCCGGGCGUCGACCGGCGCACGGGUGAGUAACGCGUAUCCAACCUGCCUCUGACUGAGGGAUAACCCGUCGAAAGUCGGCCUAAUACCUCAUGGUAUCUUCUGCGGGCAUCCAACGACGAUUAAAGAUUUCAUCGGUCAGGGAUGGGGAUGCGUCUGAUUAGCUUGUUGGCGGGGUAACGGCCCACCAAGGCUACGAUCAGUAGGGGUUCUGAGAGGAAGGUCCCCCACAUUGGAACUGAGACACGGUCCAAACUCAUACGGGAGGCAGCAGUGAGGAAUAUUGGUCAAUGGGCGAGAGCCUGAACCAGCCAAGUAGCGUGCAGGAAGACGGCCCUAUGGGUUGUAAACUGCUUUUAUGCGGGGAUAAAGUGAGGGACGUGUCCCUCAUUGCAGGUACCGCAUGAAUAAGGACCGGCUAAUUCCGUG